UACGACAUCUUUAUUACUUUCGCCAGUUCGCUUAUACUAUAUACUAUUUUUUUUUUUUUAUAUAAGCUUGUAUUAAGCAUAAGCUUAGGGUUAGUUGUCCUUCAAAUUAAUUGGAUGGUACUUGGAGCGAACCAAAUAAAUAAGUGAAAUAAAAUAAUACUUAAGUAUAAGUCGAGGUUUUAUUAUAAUGCAAAUAUAUACGUCAUACGGGUUUGUUUUGAGUGAUUAGUGCAAUACUAAACAUUUUUGGUGCCUCCUGCGAAGAAAUUAGUAUAUCGUUUAAAUUGCUGGUAAUAUGGCAGCAUUAAACUUGCGUACAUCACCGUGCACAUCUGUUUUGCACAUCUGGAUGCAAGUUCAGGCAGAGAACUACCAUCCAGACUGUGUCGAAUGUGAACAGCUUUUGGGUAGUGCCCGGCAACAUUUUUCUCGUUUUAUGAACAACCAUUUUUCCCUUGUUUCCAGCGCACAUGGAGGCGAGGUGGUAGAGCAUGAUGAUUUGCUCGCUUCGACGGAGCAGAUUUUCAACAACAUUUGUAUCAAAUAAAAACAUAAAAUGUCAGCGUUUAGCGAGAUCCCCAACCAGGAAUGCAGUCAUGCAUCAGACAUUCGUUUGAAUCCCGCUUCAAUUCCAAGUUGUGACGGACAGCCGUACAAUUGGUUAGCAUUUAAGGUUAUGUUUGAGAUGCUUGUUCACAACAGAAGUUACUUGCAGCCCACUUAUAAACCGGGAAAAUUGCGACAAUAUGUGAAGGCGGAAUAUGUUCCAUUAAUAGGAGGCUUGUAUACAGGUAGGUAUGAAGAAGUCUGGGCUGAACUGAAACAACGUACCCCGUACUCUUUCGGAGCACCACGUUCAGCAUAUACUAGACUUACCAAAACACUCACUAGAAUAUCGAGUUACGCUAUAAAUUUUGUGAAUAGUCUUCGUAAUUCCUUCAGAGCAUUAUAUUUGUGCCAGAAUUAUAAUUGUGCCAGUAAAAUAAUUUAAUCCUAUAGCCGUACCACUACUAUUAGCGAAACUACUGGUUGUUACCAGAACUGAGUAGGGAAUGAGCCUAUAAUCCAAUGACAUUCGCCAGACGAAAACUACUGGUUGUUACCAGAACCGAGUGGGGAAUGAGCCUAUAAUCCUAUGACCUCCAGAAGAUGGAAGACAUGAUAAUUUUCGCCGGACGACGUGCAGCUAACCUGCCGACAUCGUCACCAAUUACUGCACAUAUUUCAAGUGGACGCUCAUCAAGCCGUAUCGUGAAGGCGCAUCUGACUAUGAACUAUGAAAAAAUUUGGAACCCGUUAGCAGCAUCUGACAAGACAACGAAUUGCUCAUCUCGUAAUGAGUUUAAUCGAAUUACGAAAUGUCAAAGGUGUCGUAACCUUCAACUUGACGAACACUGGGAUCUGGUGAAGCAGGCAUCAUUAUAUUUCAAUUCCUUCAAACUGGGUAAUCGGUCACCGCGAGUGUCCAUAUGGCUUAUGUCCCAAUAGCCAAAAGAAAAACAAAACUCUUCUAUGUAGAAGUCCCCAGCAGAAGAGUGUUGAAAGUACUUUCGCCCGAUUCACUCUCGGAGCGUCAACAAUGGCCGGCCACUUAGCAAUGGCAAACGUGCUUCUUCUGUAAAGGUCACUUAAAGGAAUGUCGAAGGUAUUGAGCAAAGCCUUUCUACGCGUAUCAACGGUAUUGUCAGAGUUAGUAUGCAGUCCCAUGUGGACGAGAAGUUCCAGAUCAGUUUUGAUGCGUACAUCAUUAAUUAAAUCGCAUAUAUGACUCCUUCUACUACUUAAGACAUCAAGACCAGUCAUCAUUUAAAGGGUCUUCGUUUGGCUGAUCCGGAAUUCGAUGUACCAGGUCCCGUAGAACUACUGAUUGGCGCAGAUAUUGGGUCUACCCUUUAAUUAAACGACGUAGUUGUUGGUUCUCUUAAUGAACAUUACACACCCAUCUGGGAUGGGUAGUUCUUGCCCCAGUAGUAUCAAAGAAGUCGAAACCAACCUUAUUCUCAUCUCUUUUUACCGAUAAUUUUACCACCGAUGAACUUCUAAGAAAAUUUUGGGAAAUAGAAGAACCGCCCUAAUGGCCAAGAUAUUGUACAUAUAAAUACUAUUUCGAUCUGAUGUCCCUCCACUUAGCAACUCACAUUCGGUAAUUUCUGAAACUAAAGCGACAUUGGCAAACAACUAUGUACUGAGUGAGAAAUACGUGGAAUUCAUGAGAUAAUACAUUAAUUUGGAAUGCAUGGACACAAUCUAUCUCUUCCAGUUGACAUGGAAAGCUGUUAUUAUAACCCCCACCAUGCUGUUAAGACUAAAUUCAGAGUAGUGUUUAACGCAUCGUCUAAAACAAGCAUCGGUGUAUCCUUAACCUGGUUGGCAUACUUCAUCGUUUUCGGCGGUUUUCGGUAGCUAUCACAGCCGAUAUCAAAAAGAUGUUCCGACAGGUAAUGGUUGAUUCCAGGCAUCGAAAAUGGCAACAGAUCCUUUAGAGAGGGUGUACUCUUGCGUACCUAUCAAAUUAAGUCAGUGACGUACGGUAUGGCCAGCAGUCCUUUAAUGCUAUUACGUCAUUGAGACAGUGUGGAUAUGAUAAAUGGAAAGUGAUCGCUAACGGGGAGCUGCAGCACAAGACAGCACAUCCUUCACAUCUUUUAUGUUGAUGAUUUUUUUAGAAAGUGUUCAUACCACAGAACUGGCACUCAACCGUACACGGUAAACUUGAGUUAGCAUCGAUUCGUCAAGUAAACUACUUCCACUGAACCCGUAUGAAUUACCGUAUGAGCCAAAACAUCCAAUCAUUCUUCCCAAUAUCUUCUCGCCAGUAAUACUCACAAGUGCUGUCUCCAUGGUGGAAUUAUGCAUGCACGUCGGAUUGUAAAGUCAUAUCUUCGUCAGUACGUCGUAUGCCGUCGAAACUCCCGAACAACUCAGCAGCAUACCGAGUUGGAUUACUGCAGACCAUUCAACGUUCGUAAUAGAAGAAAGCGAGCUACUACAAUGAACAAAACUUACAGGGCGAUUUUCAUUCAUAUGGUUACAAAGGCCGUACGUAUUGAACUUCCGGAAAAUUUGUCAACUCAGCGACAACGGAACGCAGUUUGUAGGUGCUAGUCGCGUUCUAUAUCAAAAUCUUCAAAAUUGGAGAAAUAUAUGUAUAUGCAACUCAGCAUAUUGCAUCUUCCGGAACGCAAUGGAAAUUCAUCACUCCAGCACGUAAAUGGACGGUGUACCAAAAACUUAUGUUAAUAAGUGUUUAUUUAACUUUAAGUGCAUUAGUAACAUCUUAGCUAAAUAUACUUAUAUGUUUAAUAUUAUAUGUUUUUUGCUUCUUUAGAUAAAAUGAAGUUAUUUUAAGCUUAUUCUAAUACUAUUUCCUGAUUUUCUGCUACAAAUGAAAUAAACAUAACACGAAAAGCAGAAUCUACGCUUUUAUGAACACUUACAUGAACAUGUGUUUAGAAAAAGUGGUUGCUAUUACUGAUUAGCUUGCAUAUUCGACAGAGAAUAUUAGUAAGUUCGUAUGCAUGCAUUUUAAUGCAGAAGGGCAUAUACCCACACAUACUAACAAAGUACGAAGAAUAUGGGAGCGCAUUCGAGCGUAAAGUUGUGAUAAGAAACGCUUGUAUACAUUUAUUGUACAUCCAGCUAUGUAUCUAUAUAACUAAACUUACUAUAAAAACACAUGGACGAUUCGCACCAAAUUAAAUUUGCUAAAUAAUCUAAUGAAGACAAUAAAGACAUAACCUUUAUACAAUUAUUUUAAAUAUGAUAAGCUUCAACAUCCAACGCAUUUUUUCACUUGUGUAAAUAGAUAUGUUGUAUAUUGGGAGCUUUAUGAAUUUCCUAAAAUAAAUCACUUUGUGUUA